rnacentral:lncRNA from 1 species
CUGUACUCAGUAGAAACAAUGAUAAGAUUCUAAGACGAGUUGCUAAGAGGCAUGGAAGGGUCUGUGUUCCGUGGCUUGAGUCGUGCACUUUGCGGACAUGUGGCUCUCGUAUCCGGCAGAAAGGCCUCCCGCCGGCCUCAGCACAAACUCACCAGCUCCGAUGGAGAGGCACCUAGCAAGCAGGUCCUCCAGGAAGGCAGCCCAGAUGAAUUCAGUUACCACUAGCUGCUCUUUUGUGGAAGUGUUUUUACUGGGAAGAAUAACAACAAUAAGUCAUAUGACAGCUGGACUCCAGAAGCCUGUUUCUGUCUACUUGGUUAUAAAAAAUGUUCUGCACAUGGAUGAAGAACCAGACAGGUCUAGAGAGCAGGGGAAAUUAUUAAAAGACGAGCCAGUCGUUCUCCCUCGCACUCUGUUAAAUCUGGAGGGGAACAAGAUGAAGAAAGAAAACAAACUCUUGACAAGAGAGGGAAAGAUAGCAGAGGGGCCCGGAGAACAAGAGAGCAUCCAGCUGUUGGAUAAUGAGAAACCGAAGCUUGCCUCAUUGUCAGGGAGUCCCGAGCCAGCUGCAGCAGGAGCAGGGUGUUUACAUCAUCCGGGCUGUCCGUGUGAACGGAGCAGACACACUUCCUGCCUGCCUCUGCCCGAAGGUUGGCAGAGACAGCCUUCCAGGGGUUCACUGCAGAUUGGUGCCCAGCAGAGAGAGAGGGCUCCAAGAGUGGGGACGAGAGAGGAGGGGAGCGCCACAGGAGGUGACAGCAUGAGCGAGGAGUCUGCAAGAGAGCUCGUCUCCAGUUGGGCAGAGCCAGGAACAGCUGGCCCAGCAAACCCGUGCGUGUGAGCCCCACUCUGGCCAAGGGCGUUUUGUGGCUUCUCCAUUUAUUUUGAAGAAACUGACAAUAUGACAUCUGAUUCCGUUUAUAUGAAACUGUAGAAUAGGCAAAAAGGAAUCUGAGAAACAGCAGAAAAGUGUUUGCCUCGGGCCAACAUUGGUGGGGAGGUGACUGCAGAGAGAGAGGCCGGGGUUGAGGGCGGCAUUCUCUGUUUAACCGAGGCAGUGCUUACAUGGCUGCAUACGUUUGUUAAAACUCACUGAACAGCACACUUCCGUGAGUGUCCUUCGUGGUAUUUAAACUAUAUCUGAAUGCUGUCAAUCUUAUAAAAAAUGACACACAAGGAGCCCUCUGACCAAGCUGUUAAUGGUUUGGCAAAAAUAAGGUUUAUUGGAGCCAAGAAUAGGGGCACAUGCCCUAGCACUUGGGAGGCUGAGGCAGGAAAGUAGCUAGUUUGAGAGCAGCCUGAGUUCAAGACCACCCUCAACUGUAAGUUGAGACUGACUCAAAAUAACAAAGUUUACCGGUAGAAGGGGGAUUGGACUUGUUCAUUGCAGCCCGCAAAAUAGACUAGAACAAUACAUACACACUGUAGGAAGCUGAUUUCGACACAACACAUUUAUUUAUGAGCAGUCUUGCUCUGCUCUGCUCCGUGCUGAGUCUAUUUUGAAACUGCAAUCUGAGUCACUUUUCCUGCUGUCUUGGGAAUUCCUCAAAGGUGUAGCCCUCAGCCUGUUAGAAGCAGAAAUUCUGGUUCCGGGUGUGCCCCAUGGAGAAUGAUAAAAUCUCACACUGUUGGAGAGGAACGUGAUCUCACUCUGGGAGGGUCCUUUAUCACUCAGGGACAAAGGUUGAAGGUGGACGGUUUUACCUCUCUGGAAAAGUAAGUGGGGCAUAUCCAGUAUCAGUUAGGGUGCUGUAGGUUAGAAGUUAUGGGAAUUCUAAUCAAAAGGGCCUACAAAAUAAAGGGGCUUCAUCAAACCUUUUAACUAGAAGUGCAGAGAGAAAGCAGGUUUAACUUUGAGGCUCCUCUGGGAGGCUUGGCCCUUAGGCUCUGCUCCACGGAAGGAGGGUGAUUAAUCCAGGCCCUCAUCCACGUUUGCCACGCCACACACAAAGGUGACACUUCCUCCACAUGCACCGCAAAAGGCUUGCAGGGUUCUGUCUGAUGGGACCGGCUCCAGCCACAUAUCUCAUCCUAAGCCAGUGGAUAGAAUUAUCAGACUCACAUUAACAAGGCCCAGGUGGGCAGGGCCAGGCCACAGAUCAAAUGUGCUCAUCCUGUCCAGGGAGAGGAAGGUGGGGUGAGCGUUUGCCUAGAGGGAGGAGCAUUCAGGGUCACACUGCUGUCCCUCAUCCAUGCAACCCAUAUUCCCUCUAGAAGGGAAUUUCUUCCUCUAAUAGGAAUAUUUCUUAUUAUUUCAAAGCUGUUUACCGAAGAUGUUUACAUGGAAAUCACAUAAGUAUUUACUCUUGAGAUUUAAAUAAAAUUACCUACCCCAAUG